ACCCUAGUUAUUAUCGUUCAACAAGCUAUAGGGUUUCAUCAUUCUCUCGGCCCUCUCCUAUUCUUCAAUUCCAGAUCUCGUUCGUAACUUUUGUCAAACUUUGAUCGAUACCAGAUCUGUAAAGUUCCGAUGGAGAUCUUCAAGCCGAUGGUGGUUUUGAUUAGAACCGAAUCUUCCUCCAUAAGAUCUAGACUGCCGAGGUGCGAUAUUCACGUUUGUAUUGGUGUUUGGAAUCUAUGGUCCUUUGUUCAUCCCUAAAUCAAGGAUCUCGAGAUUUUUUUUGCAGGUAUGGUGGUAGAUCGAUGAGCAAAUCGCAGAUCCAGUGUUGAAUUUUUCUGGUUUUGCCUUUGAUGAUAGAUCGUAGAUCCAGUGUUGAAUUUUGCUGGUUUUGCCAUCGAUGACAGAUCGUAGAUGCACCGGCGUUUGAUUUCAUGAAGCCGCUACGAGGCAUGAUUCAAGAUUGACGUCUUCCAGAUUAUCAGAUCUCGGUUCUUGUAAUUAUGUAUUUGAUUGUGAGCUUUACCGGUGCGAGUUUCAUGGAUGUAUGUAGGUUGUUUCAGGAUAUCUUAAUUCGCUAAGCGAUUUGAGAAUUGGAUCUGAUUGAUCUUGUCAUCCGACCUUUGCCAUGUCAGGUGCGCUUGCUUGGCAGGUCAAAAAAAUAAUAAAAAAAGAUUUAUUGGUUUUGGGGAAGAUCGCACGGGUUUUUGCCCGGUGUCUUCUCUCGUGUGUGGUGUUUUGCUUUGCUCUUUUUUCUUAUCUCUAUUGCUUCGUUAUCGUAUAACCUCUAGACGGGAUGGAUUCAUAGGAGGAUUUCUCACGCUCCAUAACAAAGUGCACAUCAAGGUAUUAUCCUAAUUUCAGUCAAAUCAUAUCAAAUUCAAUCAUACUCCAUUAAUUUCAAUUAAUGAAAACAGUGAGUUAUAUUUAAAAUUGGACAGGAAGUUAAUAUCAACAAAUUCUCUUGUACAGUAAGAUUUAUCAUCCAAAAUCAACAAAUUCAAAGUCGUUUAUAUUUUAUUUUUUAAAAUUCUUAAUAUCUUUGAUUGAAAAUAAUUUUGAAUAGAUUGUGUCGUUACUCCUUGCUAUGUUUUUACCAUAGUUAUAGUAUAAUGCUGUAAACGUGUUAUUUCUACCAUAGUUAUAGUAUACUGUUAUCUUAUGUAUAUUGUAUUUACCGUGUCACAUAAACUAUUUAGUUAUAGUUCCUUUGCUAGGAAUUUAAUGUAUAUGUUUUCCGGCAAAUAUCUUUGUAAGGAACUCCCAUUGCAAACUUUGGUGAAGGCAGUUAAAACUUCAUAUGAACUUGUAGCAAUAUCAAAUUUUGAAAUCUAACGAAGAGGAAAGCUUCGGGUGAAUUUUUGGCAUUAACAAUUCAUGGAUUCGUUAAAGCACACUGAGCGCAUACUCGUCUGUAAGAAAGGAUUUUUAUUGGUCAACAUUUGAAUAUUUUUCAAUUGGUAAAAAAAAUUAAUUGGCUUUUGGAAUGGAAUAAUAAUUUGAAAUUUUGGUCAUAUAUCGAUAUUAAAUUAAUACUGCAUAUAUGACCAAAAUAAGAAAUGUAACUAUUGCUCAUUGUGAAGUGUAUUCAACCCAUUUUGAAGUGCACGAACUCAGGUGAAUUAUUUUAAUAGAAGCAACAUUUAUUGAUGGAGUUAAAUGGUACACCAACAUUUUGUUACAUCUCUCAUCAUCUUAGUGUCAAGAAAGAUCUGUAGCUCAAACCGGUAGAGCGCUCCGAGUAUUUUGUAUAUAUCUCUGAAAUGUGGUGGUUCGAAUCCACCCAGAUCUGCAAUUUAAUUUAUUCAAGUUAAGAUCCUGUCUAAAAUAAAUAUAAAAGAUAUUGUUGGAAAAAUUUGGUUACAAAGGAAAGGGAGGUCAAUUUGGGUCAUGAUCUGUUUGAUUGAAGAGUUGAUGUUGGGGUUCUGUUUCUUGUGCCUCAAGUUGUUUCUCAUAAUCCAAAAUUGGUUUAUGACAAAGAUCACAACAACUUUCAUGACUAGACUGCACUGUUUGGAACUGCUACUAUUACCGUGAUACAACCAAUCAUACAAAGAUACUAGUGGAAGUUGGUUAGGGACUUUGAUGGAGGUAUGCCAAUACUCCAGAUUUGAAUGUCCGCUUCUUUUAGGCUAAACAGGCUGGAUCUGAGUUGGCCUAUAUCAUGUAGUUGUUGUUGCUGCCAGCCAAGCUUGGUACUUGGGAUAGCUUGUUGAUCAAGAAAAGAUUCCAAAAUUUGAGGGACAUACCUGUUCCUAUUCUUGGGAAGGAUAGCCCAAGCUUCAUUGAUAUCCCAACCAAGCUUGAUAGGGGUGUAAUCGGAUCGGUUUGGACCGAUUUUUGGUUGAAAAAAGGUCCGAACCAAUGAUAUUUCCAUCGGUUUGGUUUGGUUCGGUUUUCAACAUUUCAAAAAUGGAACCGAACCAAACUAACCGGUUUGGUUCAGUUUGGUUUGGUUUGGUUGAUCGGUUUACAAUAUUUAUUUUUUAAAAUAUUAUAUUCAUCCGUAUAUUCUCCAUUAUCGUGUUUUUUGGUGUAUUUUAUACUAUUAUUUUUUUAAACAUUAUCUUCAUCUGUAUAUUCUCCAUUAUCGUAUUUUUGGUGUAUUUUAUACUAUUAUUUUUUAAAAUAAUAUGUUUCAUGCUAUAUUUGUUCAAACAAAUUACAAGUUGCUCUUAUUCCAUACGAAAUAGUGACAUCAUUUCCUUUGCAAGUUUCCUAUCAAAUAUAAAAGUUAACACUUAGUAUCAGAAAGUUGGAAAGGGAUUUCAAAGCUUAACAUAUAGAAUAUAACAAAACACACAUUCAUUAACAUGUUUCACACCUCAAACACACAUCAAAACUAUUUUGUAACAAGAUCUAAAUGAGUUUUGAUGAAGAAAAAGAAGAAAAAAAAGGUACAAAAAUAUAUGAAAAUUAACAAAGAGAACUUGAAUACGAAGAAUAAAUGAGUUUUGAUGAAGAAAAAGAAGAAAAAAAAGGUACAAAAAUAUAUGAAAAUUAACAAAGAGAACUUGAAUACGAAGAAGACGACCAUAACAUAUCAUAAUGACAGUAGUGAAAGGAACAAUAGUUGUGGGCAGCAAGAGCAGCAGUUCUGUGAAAGCAUAACUUUUGUGACUUAUGGUUUCUAUUGUCUAUGCUUUAGAGUUUGAUUCUAGAUGCGUGUUUUGCUUAAAGGAAGGAAGUGUAAACAAAGAUGGAUAAUAGUUGGACCGAUAAAAAAAUUGAGUUUAAUGAUGGGUAGAAUAAAAUAUUUAAAGCGUCAUUAUUUCCAUUGGUUCGGUUCAUCGGAUUGGCGGUUCCUAAAAUCUAAAUCCGAGAACCGAACCAAACCACAUCGGUUUUUAUUGGUUUGGUUCGGUUUUUAAACCAAACCAAUAAUAAUCGGUUUAAUUUCGGGUUGGUUUGGUUUGGAUUGUCGGUUUAAUUGGAUUUUUUUGACCCGCUUACACCCCUAAAGCUUGAGGUUGGUGUCUUCAUUAAGACAGAUUAAAGACCUUAAGCCUAGCCCUCCAUUAGCAUUAGGUUGACAAGUUUUUUUCCAGUCCACCACAACAAGCUUCCUGUUAUUGAUGUCUCCACUUCAUAUAAGUUUGUGCGAGCUUUUUCUAUUCUUUUUAGGGGGGGUACAAGCCAUGAAUAUAUUGUGAUUGUACAUGUUAUCAUACUUUAAAUGAUGGAUUUUACCAGUUAUUUCUGCCUGCCAUAUAUAAAGAAGCUCAUUUUCAA